rnacentral:rRNA from 1 species
CACGGAGUUAGCCGGGGCUUAUUCUCCCGGUACUGUCAUUAUCAUCCCGGGUAAAAGAGCUUUACAACCCUAAGGCCUUCAUCACUCACGCGGCAUUGCUGGAUCAGGCUUGCGCCCAUUGUCCAAUAUUCCCCACUGCUGCCUCCCGUAGGAGUCUGGGCCGUGUCUCAGUCCCAGUGUGGCUGAUCAUCCUCUCGAGACCAGCUAAGGAUCGUCGGCUUGGUAGGCCUUUACCCCACCAACUACCUAAUCCUACGCGGGCUCAUCCCAGGGCGAUAAAUCUUUGGAUUUACAUCAUCAUCCGGUAUUAGCAGCAGUUUCCCGCUGUUAUCCCGAACCCCAGGGCAGAUUCCCACGCGUUACGCACCCGUGCGCCACUAUCACCCGAGGCAAUCGUCGACUUGCCAUGUGUUAGGCAUGCCGCCAGCGUUCGUUCUGAGCCUAGGAUCAAACGUCUA